rnacentral:misc_RNA from 1 species
CUGUGAGAAAUGGCUUUAAUCUGUAUGAGUUAUCACACAUGGUAGAUUUAAAAGAUUACUUACCAGAAUGGGUUACAUUUGGCUUUUCAGCAGCCACCGGAUAUGACUAUUUUGAAAGAAACCAAAUUUACAUGUGGGAUUUUGAUUCAACCCUACAACUUCCUCAAAAUUUAACCAACAGCACUGGUCCUCCGAGCUCUGCAAUUCCUAGAGAAAGAAAGAGUAGACGCCCGUUAUCAGGGGUUUUAAUGGGUAUUAUUGGC